CACCGUUGCAUUGAUUCAUCAUCAGCUGACAUACGCAUCUGUGCUUAGUUUACAAUAAUUUUACAUCGUCGGGCACGUCCAGGCAGCUGCUAGCUGGUCUGGUCUGGUCUGAUCUGACGAGCUCACGAGCACAAAGCAAUACGCUGGCGCGUGCAACUACUACACGCCUACUCACGAGCAGAGGGCACAUCACUUGCCGGGGACGAAGUUGGUGGCGUACGCCCAUGCGUUGUUGGCGACGGGGUCGGCGACGUGGUCGAAGAGGUUCUCGAUGGGUCCCUUGCCGGUGACGAUGGCCUGCACGAAGAACCCGAACAUGGAGAACAUGGCGAGGCGGCCGUUCUUGAGCUCCUUCACCUUGAGCUCGGCGGCGGUGUCCGGGUCGUCGGCGAGGCCCAGCGGGUCGAAGGCGCCGCCGGGGUAGACCUUGUCGAGUCCCUCCCCGAGCGGGCCGCCGCCGACGCGGUAGCCCUCGACGAAGCCCAUGAGCACGACCUGGCAGGCCCAGAUGGCCAGGAUGCUCUGCGCGUGCACCAGGUUGGGGUUGCCCAGGUAGUCCAGCCCGCCCUCGGAGAAGAUCUGCGCGCCGGCCUUGAACCACACCGCCUCGCCGAACUUGACGCCGUUCUUGGCAAGGAUCUCCGGGAACACGCACCCCAGCGCGCCGAGCAUGGCCCACCGCGAGUGGAUCACCUCCAGCUCGCGGUUGCGCGCGAAGGUCUCCGGGU
rnacentral:lncRNA from 1 species